rnacentral:rRNA from 1 species
CAUGAAGCUGGAAUCGCUAGUAAUCGCAGAUCAGAAUGCUGCGGUGAAUACGUUCCCGGGUCUUGUACACACCGCCCGUCACACCAUGGGAGCCGGGAAUGCCCGAAGUCGGUGACCCAACCGUAAGGAGGGAGCCGCCGAAGGCAGGCCUGGUAACUGGGGUGAAGUCGUAACAAGGUAAC